GUGCUCACUUCGGCAGCACAUACCCUAAAAUUGGAAGGAUACAGAGAUUAGCAUGGCCCCUGCACAAGGAUGACAUGCAAAUUCGAGAAGCAUUCCUUAUUUUU
ensembl:snRNA U6 U6 spliceosomal RNA